rnacentral:rRNA from 1 species
UACGUAGGGUGCAAGCGUUAAUCGGAAUUACUGGGCGUAAAGCGUGCGCAGGCGGUUUUGUAAGUUUGUCGUGAAAUCCCCCGGGCUCAACCUGGGAAUGGCGAUGAAGACUGCAAGGCUAGAAUCUGGCAGAGGGGGGUAGAAUUCCACGUGUAGCAGUGAAAUGCGUAGAGAUGUGGAGGAACACCGGUGGCGAAGGCGGUUCUCUGGGCCUUACCUGACGCUGAGGAGCGAAAGCAUGGGGAGCAAACAGG